GAUGAAGAACGCAGCGAAAUGCGAUACGUAAUGUGAAUUGCAGAAUUCAGUGAAUCAUCGAAUCUUUGAACGCACAUUGCGCCUGCCAGCACUCUGGCAGGCAUGCCUGCUCGAGCGUCAUUUCAACCAUCAAGCCCUAGGCUUGCGUUGGAGCCCUGCGGCUGCCGCAGGCCCCUAAAAGCAGUGGCGGGCUCGCUAUCACACCGAGUGCAGUAGAUUACUCUUCGCUCAGGGCGUGUGGCGGGUUCCAGCCGUGAAACCCCCUACUUCUCAAGGUUGACCUCGGAUCAGGUAGUAAUACCCGCUGAACUUAAGCAUAUCAAUAAGCGGAGGA
rnacentral:misc_RNA from 1 species